rnacentral:rRNA from 1 species
AUGGCGACCGGCGCACGGGUGAGUAACACGUAUCCAACCUGCCGAUAACUCGGGGAUAGCCUUUCGAAAGAAAGAUUAAUACCCGAUGGUAUAAUCAGACCGCAUGGUCUUGUUAUUAAAGAAUUUCGGUUAUCGAUGGGGAUGCGUUCCAUUAGGCAGUUGGUGAGGUAACGGCUCACCAAACCUUCGAUGGAUAGGGGCUCUGAGAGGAAGGUCCCCCACAUUGGAACUGAGACACGGUCCAA